rnacentral:lncRNA from 1 species
GUGGUUCUCCGGUCAUUCAGAAAUUGAGUCGAAGUCUUUGCGGUUACGGUGCCUCUCUCCGCGUUGCUUGGUCGCAUCCAACCUUUGUCAGGUAUAAAGCUAGUUAUCCACUAUUCGCAGCAAGUUAUCAUUGUUCUUUUGAUCUACUAUCGUGAAGAUCGGGCCGCCCUCAUGCCGAUUCGUAUCGAUACCCAUCAACUGGUAUCAAAGCUUUCGUUGUCACAUUAGGUCUCACAACCAUCCUCAUAUUUAUAUUUAGUAUAUCUAUCAUUUGUUACUAAUUUGUUCAUCACCUAUAGUCCACUGAAAAAGCUACAAAAAAAUCCUAAAGCCCUUUGACGGUACUGUUAUCUUGCGUUCAUCACGUUGCUAGUCACCCUCUUUUCAUAUAUUGUGUUGUGUUUCAUUUGUUAUCCGUACCCCUAUUUGUAUAAAAAAAGAGUUAGAAAAAAAAGAACAGAAAGAUCCGAAAGAAAAGUAAAAGAAGAGGAAAGGGGUUGUAUUGCGGUUUGCUUACUGAAAAUUUCAGUUUAUAUAUCCAGAUUCUUGGGGAUUUAUAUACCAGCAACAUUAUAUCUUUUGAGAACAUUAUACCACUUGAUUUUAAGUACCGUAGCCUCCCUUGUUUAGCCACCUAUAGCUCCACCAAAAAAACUAAAACUAGGACUUUCGACUCGUAAUCCUUGCGACCUCGGAAUCACUUCUGUUGAGCUCCUACACUAGCACAAUUCAAUAUCCUUG